rfam:Myotis brandtii contig180609, whole genome shotgun sequence.
GGCAGUUCUCAGGUGACACAUCCUGAAAUCGGACUCCCUCCUCUCUAGUUCCUGGUGCAUCACUCAAGAACCAUA